AUGGGCUCGCUUGGCGUUUAAUAAUAAAUAACUAGUAUGGAUUCCAAAUUGCUACUAACAAUACAUUUAAAAUUAACAUCAUUUCCUUAUGACAUACUGCAAAAUGAUCUUUUCAAUAGCCAUGUAAAAUUAUUGUGCUUACGCGAAAAGAAGGCUAGAUUUUGUUGACAUCCCCACUCCAGUCUCUAUGAUCUCAAUAAUUGACCAUGACUGAUGGUGUAUCACGUGCUAUAGAGCACUAUUACAAAGUGUCACUGUGUGUUAUCUGUGGUGUUGUUUAACAACAGACAUCGCGUGUCCGUCUUUGGUAACAGAGCGUAGCAGUUUGAAAUCGACAUUAGUUUGUUUAAUUUUUUAUGUUUAUUAGAGAAAUUAUAUAUAAAGUAAUUUACACAAAAUGGUGUCUUGUUGCGUGCCAACUUGUGGAAAUUCGUCGAGAAAAUUUAAGUUACAUGUUUUACCAAAAGACAGGGAGCUUAGGAUAAUAUGGUGUUUAGCCAUAUGUAGGAAAGAUUUAAUUGACAUAGAUUUACAAACAAGAAAUCGAUACAGAGUGUGCGAAAUACAUUUUGAUGAACAAGAAAAAAUUGGAGGACCUUCCAAUCGAAGGCAUUUAAAAUGUACUUCGUGUCCAACUUUGAAACUUCCAGGUUUGCUUAAAUAAAACUAAUGAUUAACGAAUAACAAAAAUAAAGCCACAAUAGGUAUAAAAAAAAAAUA